rnacentral:lncRNA from 1 species
UGCUAAGGUCUUGAGGAAGCAUAAGACCUGCCUCCUGCCCAAAGAAAGUAGUAAGGGUUCUGUAGAAAGAGUCCUGGAUAUCAUGCUGGAAGACCUCCAUUCCAACCUUCCUUUUGCUUCAGUUUGGGGCCUCAUGAAGGACAUUUCAUUUCCUUUAGAGCUCGUUUCCCAGAGUAAACACUUACUCUAUUUCUGGUGUAAUUAUAAAGAAUCCAGUCAAGCUAUCUGAGAUUCCAGAAGACAGAGAGGUUGACUGGCACCCUGAUGGACAAGUAAGCUAGAUCAAGUCCUUUUCAGGGCCAGAAAGCCCUUGUGGCUGUAGUAGCAUAGAUGAGGUUGGGGCAGGUGGGGAUCCACUAACCCUGACCAGAUUCACAAAUCGAUGGUAUGUAUUCAUCUGAACGAUAAGUUUGGGUUGAGUCCCUCUUCAUCAGGUCUUAAAUUAGGAGCUGGGAAAGAGAGAUGGACGACAUGGUCGCCUUCCCUGCUGUGCAGGAAAGGCUGACAAGGACCCAGGCAACUAUAAUAUGGUGUGUAAUGUAGGUGAUUCAAAAGUACAGGAUAGGCUGGGAAUGGUGGCUCACACCUAUAAUCCCAGCACUUUGGGAGGCUGAGGCAGGAGGAUCGCUUGAGGCCAGGAGUUCGAGACCAGCCUGGACAACAUACUGAGAGCUG